CCCUUAACACAGGAUACAUGUGAAUCUCUGUAGUAAAGUGAUAACAUCCUUUAAAGUAUAUUUUUCAUGGGAAGAGUUGAAACAAGGGUAAGGAAGGUUUAAUUAUAAUGCCCUAGUGAAAACAUAAAGUUUGAUUUACUAAAAUGCUUGAUGUUUGAACAGGGUAUUUAAAGGAUCCCCGAUACCAGGAAGUUGACAGUUUCACAAAUCUUAUUCCCAACAGACGAUUUUCAGGAGUUCGCCGAGAUGUGUUUUUAAAUGGGUCCUACAAUGAUUAUGUGAGGGAAUUUCAUAACAUGGGACCACCGCCUCCUUGGCAAGGAAUGCCUCCUUACCCGGGAAUAGAACAGCCUCCACACCAUCCCUACUACCAGCACCAUGCCCCGCCUCCUCAAGCCCACCCCCCUUACUCAGGACACCAUCCGGUACCACAUGAAGCAAGAUACAGAGAUAAACGAGUACAUGACUAUGAUAUGAGGGUUGAUGAUUUCCUUCGCCGCACACAAGCCGUUGUCAGUGGUCGGAGAAGUAGACCCCGAGAAAGAGAUCGGGAGCGAGAGCGAGACCGCCCUAGAGAUAACAGAAGAGAUAGAGAGCGAGACAGAGGUCGUGAUCGAGAAAGAGAGAGAGAAAGAAUAUGUGAUCGGGACAGAGACCGAGGGGAAAGAGGUCGUUAUCGAAGAUAAUGUGCUUUUUGGAAGCACUGACUGAAGAUAAAAAAUAUU
rnacentral:lncRNA from 1 species